rnacentral:rRNA from 1 species
CCUACGGGGGGCAGCAGUGGGGAAUAUCGGACAAUGGGGGCAACCCUGAUCCAGCCAUGCCGCGUGUGUGAAGAAGGCCCUCGGGUUGUAAAGCACUUUCAGUGAGGAAGAACGCCUGGUGGUUAAUACCCAUCAGGAAAGACAUCACUCACAGAAGAAGCACCGGCUAACUCCGUGCCAGCAGCCGCGGUAAUACGGAGGGUGCGAGCGUUAAUCGGAAUUACUGGGCGUAAAGCGCGCGUAGGUGGCUUGAUAAGCCGGUUGUGAAAGCCCCGGGCUCAACCUGGGAACGGCAUCCGGAACUGUCAAGCUAGAGUGCAGGAGAGGAAGGUAGAAUUCCCGGUGUAGCGGUGAAAUGCGUAGAGAUCGGGAGGAAUACCAGUGGCGAAGGCGGCCUUCUGGACUGACACUGACACUGAGGUGCGAAAGCGUGGGUAGCAAACAGGAUUAGAUACCCUAGUAGUC